rnacentral:rRNA from 1 species
ACGAACGCUGGCGGCGUGCCUAACACAUGCAAGUCGAACGGAACUGUUUUGAAAGAUUUCUUCGGAAUGAAUUUGAUUUAGUUUAGUGGCGGACGGGUGAGUAACGCGUGAGUAACCUGCCUUCAAGAGGGGGAUAACAUUCUGAAAAGAAUGCUAAUACCGCAUGACAUAUCGGAACCACAUGGUUUUGAUAUCAAAGAUUUUAUCGCUUGAAGAUGGACUCGCGUCCGAUUAGUUAGUUGGUGAGGUAACGGCUCACCAAGACCGCGAUCGGUAGCCGGACUGAGAGGUUGAACGGCCACAUUGGGACUGAGACACGGCCCAGACUCCUACGGGAGGCAGCAGUGGGGGAUAUUGCGCAAUGGGGGCAACCCUGACGCAGCAACGCCGCGUGAAGGAUGAAGGUUUUCGGAUUGUAAACUUCUUUUAUUAAGGACGAAACUUGACGGUACUUAAUGAAUAAGCUCCGGCUAACUACGUGCCAGCAGCCGCGGUAAUACGUAGGGAGCAAGCGUUGUCCGGAUUUACUGGGUGUAAAGGGUGCGUAGGCGGCUUUGCAAGUCAGAUGUGAAAUCUAUGGGCUCAACCCAUAAACUGCAUUUGAAACUGUAGAGCUUGAGUGAAGUAGAGGCAGGCGGAAUUCCCCGUGUAGCGGUGAAAUGCGUAGAGAUGGGGAGGAACACCAGUGGCGAAGGCGGCCUGCUGGGCUUUAACUGACGCUGAGGCACGAAAGCGUGGGUAGCAAACAGGAUUAGAUACCCUGGUAGUCCACGC